rnacentral:ncRNA from 2 species
AAAUAAUUAUACGACUGACGGAAGUGGAAUAGACCACAGGGAGUAUAAGGGUAAAAGUGUCGACCGUCUGGGCAGAUCUU